rnacentral:lncRNA from 1 species
AUGGACAAUGUUUAACAGAAGAUGUUCCUUUAUUAAAGAGCCACUUCCAUGCUGAAGCAUAUGGUGUGGAGAAGAAAGCAAGGGCGAGAGACGCAGACUUCGAAGUUUGCCCCUGGCAUACGCUAUGACUUGAGAUGCCAAUUAAUCUAAGUUAGCAUCUGAUUGACACCCAAGGCAUCAUGAACCCAAAGAGGUAGAGACCCAGAGCCACGGGCUGGUGUCCAGCUUCCUGCGGCUGAGGGACCAAGGUACCUUGGGAUGGUUCUCUUCACUCCC